rnacentral:rRNA from 1 species
UAGUCAGGUGGGAUUACCUAUUGAGUUUAAGCACAUUGAUAAACAGAGAAAAAAGAACUUACCAAGAUUCUUUUAGUAAUGAUGAACGAACUGAGUAGAGCCUAGCUUGAGAAUCGAGCACCCAUGGCAUCUAAAUUGUAGUUUGAAAAAGCAUUCUCAGUAGUAAACUAGGUCGAACUCUCUUGGAAAGGGGCACUAAAAGGGUGAGAGCCUUAUUGUGUCGAGACCUUGUCACACCAUGAGGCAUUGUCUGUGAGUCAAGUUGUUUAAAAAUACAGCCCCAAUCGAGCUAUAAAUUCUGUGUGAGGGUAAAUACACUCGAGAGAUCGAUAGUGAACAAGUACCGUAAGUGAAAAAUGAAAAAGACUUUGAAAAGAGAGUCAAAGAGUGCUUGAAUUUAUUGGAAAGAAAGCAGAUGGGGCUAGUGAUGCACCCCAGUUGAAUGUAGAAUAGCAAAAGCCAAUCUAUCAAUCGACCAAUCUGUCGAUCGGCUUGGGGAGUGGACCAACUUAGCUCACAGCAGCAGCCCAAGCGUAAGCUUUUGAUAUUUCCUUAGAGACAUUAUCACCAUGAUUGUGGAAUGUAACACACACCACCUUGGUGUAACUUAGUAUCCAGUGCUCUUGGCAUCAACCUGUAGGCUACCAAUCUAGCCCGUCUUAAAACAUGAACUAAGGACUCUGACAUGUGUGUGAGUCAAUGGGCUAGAAAACUCAUAAGGCAUAAGGAAGUUGAUUGGUGGGAUACCUCAUAAGUGCACUGCCUACCAACCUUGAUAUUCUAAAAAGGGUUUAAAUGUGAGCAUGCAUGUCAAGACUUAAAAGAUGGUGAACCAUACCUGAGUAAAGUUAAAGCCAAAGAAAACUCUGGUGGAGGCCUACAGUGAUAUUGAUGUUGAAAUCAUUCAUCUAACUUGGGUAUAAGGGUAAAAAACUAAUCAAACCAUCUAAUAGCUAGUUCUCUUUGAAGUUUCCCUUAGGAUAGCUGCACCCUUAGUGAGUUCUAUAGGGUAAAAGCUAAUGAUUAAAGGCAUUAGGGGUGCAAUGCCCUUGACCUAUUCUCAAACUUUAAAUUGAUAGGAUGAUGCUGCUACUUCAUUAAGCCAUGCCAUGGAAUCAAUAGCUCUAAAAGGGCCAUUUUUGGUAAGCAGAACUAGCAAGGUGGGUUAAGUUGAAAGCCGAGUUACAGUGCCCAACUACAUACUAACUUAGAACCCACAAAGGGGUUGGUCAAUUAAGACAGCAUGAUGGUGGUCUUGAAAGUCAAAAUCUACUAAAAAGUAUGUAACAACUCACCUACCAAUCAACUAGACCCAAAAAUGGAUGGUGCUUAAGUGUGUGACCUAUACCUGGCUGUCGGGGAAAUGACCGAGCCCCAAUGAGUAAGAAGGCAAGGUGAUCAUUGCAAAACCCAAAGUAUGAGCCUUGGUAGAGCAACCGUCGGUGCAGAUCUUGGUGGUGGUAGCAAAUAUUCAAAUGAAAAUUUUGAAGGUUGAAGAGGGGAAAUGUUUCAUGUGAACUACACUUGCACACGGGUUAGUUGAUCCUAAGAGAUGAGGGAAAUUCAUCUGAUAGCACGUCCAAUGUUAGUUUUAAAAGAGAAUUAGGUUAAAAUUCCUAAACCAAAAUACGGUAGCUAAUAACAACAUUAAGGAGUCUAGAGAGAAUGGUGAUGGCCUAAGAAAGAGUUAUCUUUUCUAUGUAAUGGCCUACCCACCCUGGAAACGGCUUAGCCAGAGGUAAGGUCUAGUAACUAGAAGAGCACCGCACAUCAUGCAAUGUCUAGUACACCCUUGGGCCCUUAAAAAUCUAGAGGAUUGAGUACCAUUUGUGCUUGGUUAUACUCAUAAUCUCAUCAGGUCUCUUAGGUGAAUAGUCUCUUGUAGAUGGAAUAAUGUAGGUAAGGGAAGUUAGCAAAAUAGAUCUAUAAGCUCAAGAAAAAAUUGGCUUUGAAGGCUAGGCAUAGGGGUCUCAGUCUUGAACCAAUUGACUGACAAUGCAUUACUCUUGCUGGUCCCAUGGUGUGAGCAGGCCAUAGCUUACUAGUUAAGGGAUGGACUAGGAAUGCCUCCCUUGUGGGCCUUCUUCGAGUGAUGAACAAUCGACUCAAAACUAGUAUAGGCAAAGGGAAUUUAACUAUUUAAUUAAAACAUAGCAUUAUGAUGGUCCUUGUAAAUGCUCACAAAAUAUGAUUUUUGCCUAGUGCUUUGAUUGUCAAAGUGAAGAAAUUCAACCAAGCAUGGGUAAAUGGUAAGAGGAACUUUGACUCACUUAAGGUAGCCAUAUGCCUUGUCAUUUAAUUAGUAAUAGGCAAUAAUGGAUUAAAAAGAUUCUCACUGUCCUGUCUACUAUCUAGUGAAACCAUAGCCAAGGGAAUGAGCUUGGUAGAUUCUAUGGGGAAAUAAGACCCUAUUGAGCUUAACUUUAAUCCAACUUUGUGAAAUGACUUAAUAAGUGUAGGAUAAGUGACAGCCCUUAGGUGAAAUUGAAAUACCACAACUUUUAAUGUUGUUUUACUUAUUCCAUGUAUCAAAGGUGGGGUAUGACUUUUGGACCUAAGGCCAACCUCAAUUGGUUGAUCUUGGCAAAAACAUUGUUAGGUGGGGAGUUUAGUUGGGGUAGCACAUCUAUUAAAAGAUAAUGCAAGUGUCCUAAGAUGAGCUCAAUAAGAAUAGAAAUCUCAUGUGAAAUAAAAGGGUAAAAGCUCAUUUAAUUAUGAUUUACAGUAUGAAUAUGAAUCAUGAAAGCAUGGCCUAUCGAUCCGUUAGACCUUCAAAAUUUCAAGCUAAAGGUGCCAAAAAAGUUACCUCAAGGAUAACUGGCUUGCGACAGCAAUCAUUCAUAGUGAAAUUGCUUUUUCAUCCUUUGAUGUUAGCCUUUCCUAUCAUUAUGAAGCAAAAUUCACCAUGUGUUUGAUGUUUCACCCACCAAUAGGGAAUGUGAGCUUGGUUUAGACCAUCGUGAGAUAAGCUAGUUUUACCCUAUUGAUGGUAGCAUCGCAAUAGUAAUUCAACCUAGUAUGAGAGGAACCAUUGAUUCUCACAAUUGGUAAUCGCACUUGGUUGAAAAGUUGGUGGCUUGAAGCUAUCAUGCGCUAGAUUAUGACUAAAUGCCUCUAAGUCAGAAUCUAGGCUAGAAAUGAUGCAUGCACCUGUCACCUAAUUGCUGACCUACAAUAGAGCCCGAUGCCCCUUAAGGGCAUAUGCCAUAGGUGUAGCCCCUACAAUAGACAAGCUACACAAGCCUCUUUAGAGCUCAAUUCUCACCAAG